rnacentral:rRNA from 1 species
UACGAAGGGGGCUAGCGUUGUUCGGAAUUACUGGGCGUAAAGCAUAUGUAGGCGGGCUUUUAAGUCAGGUGUGAAAUCCCAUGGCUCAACCAUGGAAUUGCAUUUGAAACUGGAAGUCUUGAAUGUGGGAGAGAUUGGUAGAAUACCUAGUGUAGUGGUGAAAUACGUAGAUAUUAGGUGGAAUACCGGUGGCGAAGGCGGCCAAUUGGCCCAACAUUGACGCUGAGAUACGAAAGCGUGGGGAGCAAACAGG